AUCUACAGUCUGAACGACAAACUUCUCUUGAUUGUUGGUGCAGAAAACCCGGUUCUGAUAUCUGGGCUGAGCAAAUAGUCAGUGCUGGUGGUUAACUACUUCCCUUCAAGGUAUGACCCAGUUCGCCAUGCAGAGAAUUAUCCAACUCCACCUGCAGUCUGCUAUGUAAAACGUGGAGGGCCAUGUAUUAUUGAGAAAGAGAACAACUUCAAGGAGUCUAGAGAUUGCAAUUGUUCCUUCACACCAGAGAGGCAAGAACGUCGGUCGAUGGAUUGAUGCUCUGUCACCCCCUCCCAUCACACAUGAAAUCUGCAGCAUCUGGAUAUCUUACAGGUCCCAGGCUGAUAAGUCACUGGGACAGAAGCUGGCAAGCCGUCUGAACGUGAGACCAAGCAUCUAAAACGAGUGAACAAGAUUCUCGAUUGGUCAUUCUGUGGUUCCAACAGACGAGAGAAAAAAGAUGGGAAGAUAUCAGAUGUGCCAUGGAUAUAAUCUUCAUCAUGUGUAUCCUGUGUGUUGUGUAGUAAUAUUUUUUGUUGACCAAAACAAUAAAACUUCUGUUGUGUUGUGACCUUAGUCUUAUCUAUUUUUAUGAGUUCAUUUACAAUUA